UCCUCCUUUUUCACCCGCGAAGAGCCACUGCCUACCCCGCAUCUUUCUUCUGCCCCGAUUCAACCGGCUCUCUUCUCCCCAAGAUUACAGCCCCGAUUGGAACGACUGGCGGCGGCAGAUCGGGGGAGGUCACCCUACAGGCCGAGCUCGGAUCCACCCAAACAUCCAGCCCCGCGAGCACCCGGCCCUCUUCUCCCCCAACUGCAGCGACCCGUGACGCCAGAUUGAAGGAGGCUACCCCGCCGCCGAGGUUGGACCCACCGCAUCAACCCGCCCAGUGAGCACCCGGCUCUCUUUUCCCCAGCGACCGACGACUUUUCGCUCUAGGAAGGGGCUUUGAGAGAUGAAGAGGAAGCCACUCUUGCUAUGUCCAAAGCAAUGGUAAUAUAUCGUGUGGACUUACAUCUUGAAUAAUGUGUACAUCAGUGUGCAUUCACUGGCUUUAAUUAGGUCUUAUGUUUCCACUUUCAGCAAAAUUGAAAACGGCAAGUACAAUAAUCAGGAGCCAAGUCCCAUUGAGUUUUUCAAAGAGACCCAUACUAACAGCAUGAGCGAGCCGACACAUCUAGCUUAUAAUGCAAUGGAAAAGAAAAGGGAAACACAAUCAGAAGUGACAACCAGUGUUUGAUUCAAUGAUUGUGGCUGAAGUUCUAAAGGAAGAAAACGCCCAUAGCACCUUCCUUUCCAGCAUGAGUUAUGCAUCAAGAUCCGGGAGAUUUGGGAACUCUAAUUCAUCAGCAAGGAUCUGAGUUCUAGAAGAAAGAAUUGAGCAAAAGGAUAAAGAGGCGAGAGAUGCAAAUGACAGGCACUGAGAGGAGUUAGUGGUGAGACUUGAAGCACAGGCGAGAGAAUUUGAAGAGGUGUAGAGGAAGCAACACGAAUAAUUGGAAGAUGUGAAGAAGAUCGAGCAAGAGAAGAAUGAAGCCUGGCAAAAGAAGCAACAAGAGACGGAUAUCCUGAUUGGUUUUCUCUUAAGGGCUCAAGCAACUCAGCAAGCAACUUAGCAGUCCUAAUCCAAACUUAAUGGUGCAUGAAGGCCAUCCUUUUGCGAUGGAAAGAUAGUUGUUGAAUCAUACAUUGCAAUCAUCAGGAUAACACAUGUGGUCUUUACUUAUCUAAAUAUUGCUUUUCAACUUGUCUAUUCUUCUGUCAAACUCGUGAGUCAGUGUUAAUUUUUACUAUGAAACACAAGAGGACGAAUUGGCUGAGACGAUUAAAUAUAUAACAUCAUAAAUUUAUGAUGUGAUUUGGAUCUUAACUUA